rnacentral:rRNA from 1 species
GUAUUCCGCUCCAUAGCGUAUAUUAAAGUUGCUGCAGUUAAAAAGCUCGUAGUUGAAUUUCGGAACCAAUAUGUUGGUUGUGCCUCGGUACGUACUGGCAUUGUUGGUUUCUCCCUUCUGACGAACUAUGAUGUCAUUAAUUUGGUGUCAUGGGGAAUCAGGACUGUUACUUUGAAAAAAUUAGAGUGUUUAAAGCAGGCUCACGCUUGAAUACAUUAGCAUGGAAUAAUGAAAUAGGACGUUUGAUUCUAUUUUGUUGGUUUCUAGGAUUGACGUAAUGAUUAAUAGGGAUAGUUGGGGGCAUUAGUAUUCAAUUGUCAGAGGUGAAAUUCUUGGAUUUAUUGAAGACUAACUACUGCGAAAGCAUUUGCCAAGGAUGUUUUCAUUAAUCAAGAACGAAAGUUAGGGGAUCGAAGACGAUCAGAUACCGUCGUAGUCUUAACCAUAAACUAUGCCGACUAGGGAUCGGAUGAUGUUAAUUUUUUAAUGACUCAUUCGGCACCUUACGGGAAAAC